UAAGGGCACCACAAGAACGCGUGGAGCAUGUGGCUUAAUUUGACUCAACGCGGGAAAUCUUACCGGGUCCGGACACACUGAGGAUUGACAGGCGAUUGUGGAACUUGUUCUUCGGAGCAGUUCCGCUACAAAUAUGCUAGUCCUUUCAUGAUUGUGUGAUAGGUGGUGCAUGGCCGUUCUUAGUUCGUGGAGUGAUCUGUCUGCUUAAUUGCGUUUCACAAAGGACUGUGUGACAUUUGCCUGUUGCGCUGCGCUCUUCUGAGUGUUUGUUGCACGGCAAGGUACCAAGUCCUGAAGGCAACGAACGUGACCGCAACCUCUUGUUGCCUCCUUUUGCUUUUAGCAACAUGAGUUUUAGUUCUGUUAUGGAACUUUGCUCUGCAUGGAGUUUGCAAACUACGGGGACUGCUGAUUUCUUUUCAAAACAGAGGAAGGAUGCGGCAAUAACAGGUCUGUGAUGCCCUUAGAUGUUCCGGGCUGCACACGUGCUACAAUGAUUAGUGCAGUAAGAAUCUUCAACAGCUUAGAAACUUUUGCGCGAACAGCGGGAUUCCUUCGGGAAACUGUUGCGAGCCUUUAGUUUUACCUCGCCUACUUCGAAAGUAAGCAGGUAAUCAAUUCGAAGUACUGAUUUCCAUUUCAAGCGCAUGUAUGAGCACUCCCAGAUUUCGGCACUUGUGUCGUGUCUGGAGUGUUUUGCCUUAAUUUUUUAUUUCUUGGUGGGGACAGACCCUUGUUAAUUAUUGGUCUCGUUUUCAGCUAGGAAUGCCUUGUACGGGUCUUUGGUUCAACAAACCACCCGGAAUAUGUCCCUGCCCUUUGUACACACCGCCCUCA
rnacentral:rRNA from 1 species